rnacentral:rRNA from 1 species
AGUGAACGCUGGCGGUAGGCCUAACACAUGCAAGUCGGGCGGCAGCACAGUAAGAGCUUGCUCUUACGGGUGGCGAGUGGCGGACGGGUGAGGCAUACAUCGGAAUCUACUUUGUCGGGGGGAAUAACGGGGGAAAACUUCUACUAACACCUAAUAUUUCCAACGGGUGAAAUCAGAGGUUCUUCGCGCUUUUGCUGACGCAUUUAGCUGGUGCCGCAUUAGCUGGUUGGGGAGGUAACGUCCCACCAAGGCAACGCACCGUAGCUGGUCUGAGAGGAUGAUCAGCCACACUGGAACUGAGACACGGUCCAGACUCCUACGGGAGGCAGCAGUAGGGAAUAUUGGGCAAUGGGCGCAAGCCUGAUGCAGCCAUACCGCGUGGGUGAAGAAGGCCUUCGGGUCGUAAAGCCCUUUUAUUGGGAAAGAAAAGCAGCAUGUUAAUCCCCCGAUGUUCUGACGGUACCCAAAGAAUAAGCACCGGCUAACUUCGUG